rnacentral:snRNA from 1 species
GGAUGUGAGGGGCGAUCUGGCUGUAACACCUGUCACCCCAUUGAUCGCCAGGGUUGAUUUGGUUGAUCUGGCUGGCUAGGCGGGUGUCCCCUUCCUCCCUCACCACUCCAUGUGCAUCUCUCCGGAAGGGGAUGACCUUCCCCGAACAGAGGAGGACGGGUCUUUGGUCAAGGGUAUACGAGUAGCUGUGCUCCCCUGCUAGAACCUCCAAAUGAGCUCUCAAAUAUUGGAAAUAAAGGUUUGUACCACCAAACCCAGUAGAGAGAAAGACAGAGAGAGAGAU